UGGGGAAUAUUGCACAAUGGGGGAAACCCUGAUGCAGCGACGCCGCGUGAGCGAUGAAGUAUUUCGGUAUGUAAAGCUCUAUCAGCAGGGAAGAUAAUGACGGUACCUGACUAAGAAGCUCCGGCUAAAUACGUGCCAGCAGCCGCGGUAAUACGUAUGGAGCAAGCGUUAUCCGGAUUUACUGUGUGUAAAGGGAGCGUAGGCGGUCCUGCAAGUCUGAUGUGAAAACCCGGGGCUCAACCCCGGGACUGCAUUGGAAACUGUAGGACUAGAGUGUCGGAGGGGUAAGUGGAAUUCCUAGUGUAGCGGUGAAAUGCGUAGAUAUUAGGAGGAACACCAGUGGCGAAGGCGGCUUACUGGACGACCACUGACGCUGAGGCUCGAAAGCGUGGGGAGCAAACAGG
rnacentral:rRNA from 1 species